ensembl:ncRNA T14F9.6 ncRNA
AUUGGGGGCAAAACGUCCAAGUGAGAGUGGAUCGGCGACUGGCGCCAAAUUGCUGCUGCCGACGCAGUUACCAUACUUGGAUGUCGGACAAGGCGGAUUUCGAGAGUUGUUUUUAUGUACACA